UGCGACAAGGCUUCCAUCAUUAUUUGUUUCUGUUUAAUUUGUCCACACACAUUUCUUGCAUGCAUGGUUUAUUUUGACUCUUGUAAUCCUUGUGCAGCAGGGAACAAAGAAACUGUACCUUGACUGGCAAUGAAAACCUUCUAAUUAGUAGUUAAACUGUACCCCUUCAAAACAAUAUGAUUGAGUUUUAAUAUCCUCAGUGACUAAUUAUUUGCUCUCAAUGAUCAUAACAGAGAGAUUGACAUUCGGACAUUGAUUUGUGUAAGGAAGUUUCUGAUGAGCCCUUGAGGCGGAUUGAAUCUGAACGAGUGGCCAGGGUAUCAGAGGCAAACAAGGUCCAACGACCGGAAGAAACUGAGGAACAUCUUUCCAAGAUACAACAAGAGUUGCAACAAGUUAAAGCACGACAAAAUGAGGUCGCUGAUGAGCUACAGAAAGCUAAUAAGCAUAAUGAGCAUGUUCAGCAUCAGCUCUUGGAGUCCAAGAAUGGUCAUAGUGAGGAACUUUAGAGAGCCAAUGAGCAUAGUUUGAAUCUUCAACAUCAGCUCUCGGAAUCCAAAGAGCAGUAUAAUGAGCUUCAGUCCAAGCAUUACGACUUGCUAAGGAACGAGAUACUGCACUCAAAGAGGUACUCCCUCCGUCCGGGAAAAGUUGUCCCUGUGGCAAUUUUACGAAAACCUCCUCGGUGUAUUCCCAACAAACGACGCACUCCCCCCACCUCCGCUCCUCUCCCGCCGGUUCGCCCUGCUCGUCUCCUCCCUUGCCGGAGCCCUCUGCUAGGCUCCCCAAGAAGCAUCUGCUGGCGUCGCCGGAGAUUCCCUGCGCAAGAAGCUCCCUGCUCUGCUCCCCCUCCUUGUUCCCCACCUCCUCCGCCCCGUUGCUUCCCCGGGCGAGGAGAAGCAUCGAUUUUUCCGACCUCCGACAGAAGCCGCAGCUGCCCUGCUCCACCACCGCCACAGCUUGCCGCCGCCGUAACUGCCUCCUCCGUGGCUCUCUCCUGCUCGCGCAGCUCAAGCUUGCCUUCCUCCCCUAGCUUCCCCCCUCCCUAGUGACCUCCGCGCUCUGCUCCGGCUGCUUCAGACCCGGCGUCGGCAAGGCUGAUAUGGUGGCUGCGAGGCCAGACGGCGGCGAGAUCAGGUGGUUGAAGCUGGGAACGUCGCUUCCGGUCGCGAACAUCCAGGCCCUGGUGGCGUCCGCCGGCGAGCUGACGGCCGACCAGAUCGAACGGUACGUCCAGCCGGACAUCGACGCGCACGCCGUUCUCCCCGAGCACUCCGACGAGGUUCCGGUGAUUGACCUCAGCAACCUCUUGAGCCCCGAGUCCGUCGAGGCAGAGGUCGCGAAGCUCAGGUUUGCCUGCGCGGAGUGGGGCUUCUUUCAGGUGCGUCACUACUGUAAAUUGCUUACCAUUUAGUACAUGCAGCCGUCUCGUUUCUGUUGCUUAACUUGUCUGCCUAGUACAGAAUGGAUGGAUGACUGAAUGGAUGGAGUCACUGAUCCACCAGGGCCUAGUAAAAACUGAUCUUUUUUUACUGAAAUUUGCUGCUUCUGAGAUUUGCUUAAGACUGCAUGCCGGCCAACUGGUAUUUCUUCAGUUAGCAAAACAUGGCAGACAAAUCUCACUAGGGGAUCACACUUGGCCUGACAACAUCUGUGUGUAACUAGGGGGUCACACUUGGGGACACAAUGGGCUAAUUGACUAAUUUCUUCAGCAGCUCAUCCUAUUUUUACCUAAUUGACUGCAACCUCAGUCUCACUAGGGCAUCGCACUUGGCCUGACAACAUCUGUGUGUAAACUGGAAAUUCUAGCUUAGACUGAAACUUGAACAACUGAAUUUAUGCAUUUCAACUAGCAAAUGUGAGAUAAGAGUGAACAUUUAUUCUCAACUAGCAAAUGUCAGAUAAAUCAAAUUACUAAUUAGCUUUAGUGAUGGAUCUAGCAGGAUGAGUCAGUGAUUAAAAUCAUCCAUGAAUGAAUUAGUUAGAGGGCGGCCGGCAGUACUUGGUGUACUACUGCUGCUGUCUAGUAGAGUACUGCUUUCAUGAAAGAGGUAGAUAAAUGGAGUACUCCUUUUCAAGUAAUUUUGUCAUUUGUUUCAUGAUGUGGCAAGUAAUUUUGUCAUUGUUUUAGACUGCAAUCAAGUCUUUUUUCAUUGUUUCAAAAUGCUUCAGCCUGCUAGAUUCAAGUUCUGCUGAAACUGAAAAAAGGAACAGAACCACACUUGAAUAAUUUUCGAGUUCAGAACCACACAUUUUAUCAUUCUACUUCCAGGAAUUUUCCUGAUGAACCUGACAUGAUUUAUUGGUAGGGGUAUUCACUAUUCACUAGUCCACUAAGUCCAGGGUAUCAGUAGCAUUUUCUUCUUCUUUGGCAAGCCUUUUCUUGGUUGUGCGGUUAACUGAUCUUGUUAACAUGCUAACUGAAUUUUGCAAUGAAAAUUGCAUCGUUGGAUUGGCAGGAGUAGAAAAUUUGGUGUACACAGUGUACUGAGUUUUCAACUCUUGAUUGUUGUACUGGCAUGAAGCAAUAUAAAUGGCUGCCAUGGCACCAUUUCGAGAAAUAAGUGUAGUGUCAAAAUAUUCAUGUGAUUUCAAACCUGUGGCCAAACUGUUGUACAUUAUGUUUUCAGUAAGGAGCUCAAGUUCUUAACACAAACUUGCUUAGAUUUCGUUUUCAGUAAGGAUCCCAAGUUCUUAACUAUGACAAGAUUUUGUUUUUAGUGAGUCUAAAAUUAUUGCAGAGCUUUCUGAUGAUCA